UUGAAAGAUUCUAUUAAGGCUUCUCCAAAUUCUCAAAGUGAAAGGCUUAUGUGUUUUAAAAUUACAACAACAUACGGAUGAGGAUUAUGACAAAGUGGGAUGUCUUAGUUCAUUUUGGGGUAAAGUUGAACAAGGUCUCUAUUACUAAGUUACUAUAGCGUUGUUUGCUAAAGGACCAGCAACGUAAUUUAAUAAUGGCAAGAUGAACAACAUGUCAUUGAGGGCAGAAACAUUUUGCUAGAUUAACGUGUGUUGGAAGGGCUGUCUUUGUGGUUACUAAAGAAAGCCAACACAGGUUCUAUCUACCAGCCUCGAGACUAGUUGCGUGGCUGCUGCUUCAGGAGACUUCAAGGUACAUAUGCCGCCUCCGCAGAUCUCGGAGUCCCUUCUAUCCCCUUGUGUUGAUUUUCCCCUUGUUUUCUUCAAACAUAAAUGUAUAGAGCAGUUAGAAACUCUUAGAAGCUUGUGACAUUGCGACAUUCUGGGUUUUGGGAAAAAUGAUUAUUGUAUAUGCCGAGCGGCAUCGUUUCUGCUUAUUAACUAUAUUCGUUAGUUGUUA